rnacentral:rRNA from 1 species
UACAGAGGGUGCGAGCGUUAAUCGGAAUUACUGGGCGUAAAGCGUGCGUAGACGGUUAUUUAAGUCGGAUGUGAAAGCCCCGGGCUCAACCUGGGAAUUGCAUUCGAGACUGAAUAGCUAGGGUGCGGUAGAGGGAAGCGGAAUUUCCGGUGUAGCGGUGAAAUGCGUAGAUAUCGGGAGGAACACCAGUGGCGAAGGCGACUACCUGGCCUGUUCUUGACGCUGAGGCGCGAAAGCUGAGGGGAGCAAACGGGG